rnacentral:rRNA from 1 species
UGGGGAAUAUUGGGCAAUGGGGGCAACCCUGACCCAGCAACGCCGCGUGAAGGAAGAAGGCUUUCGGGUUGUAAACUUCUUUGACCAGGGACGAAACAAAUGACGGUACCUGGAAAACAAGCCACGGCUAACUACGUGCCAGCAGCCGCGGUAAUACGUAGGUGGCAAGCGUUGUCCGGAUUUACUGGGUGUAAAGGGCGCGUAGGCGGGACUGCAAGUCAGAUGUGAAAUCUGGGGGCUUAACCUCCAAACUGCAUUUGAAACUGUGGUUCUUGAGUGAUGGAGAGGCAGGCGGAAUUCCUAGUGUAGCGGUGAAAUGCGUAGAUAUUAGGAGGAACACCAGUGGCGAAGGCGGCCUGCUGGACAUUAACUGACGCUGAGGCGCGAAAGCGUGGGGAGCAAACAG